UGCUCGUCACUUCUGAUUCACUCCACCUGUUCACCUGAGUAUAUAUUACUGCCAUGCAGCUCCACUCACUGCUGGAACGUCAAGUCUUCUGCCUGAUUCCCAGCUUACUCAUGCUUUGUGCUUUUGUGCUUUCAGUCUGUCUGCAAGCCUGCCUUUUGCUCCACGCUCUCAGACCUCUUGCCCGCCUGCCCGCCUGCCCGCCCACAGAGCCACAAUGGAAGGGUUAAAGAGCCACACGUGGCUCCGGAGCCUCAGGGUGCAGACCCCUGAAGUCCAUGACUUUCAUGCACAAGGAUGAGGAAGAUGUUGACCUCUGUGGUCAGAAAGUCAUGUCCAAGACCUGGAGAGAUGUUGCAGUCCAGCACAGACAGUGUACCUGUGAAGAGACCACUAUGUUGCAGAAAAAUUCUUCAUGUAAAAAUAAAAUUGUUGUGUAUUUGGAA